GUGAAUCUCGAUUUUUAGACCGACGUUUCACCACGACUUUCUUCUCAAGAGGAAUUAGACAUCCUGUAAUAAAAAAAUUAGAGGCUUGUCGAACUUUCCAAAAGAUUUGAAAAGGAGCAUUCCUAUAACGAUCUCCGAAAAGAUCAAUAUGGUUUCAGUAAUCAGUAGCAACGGAAAAUAAUAUUCAGCAGAACUGAGCUCAACUUACUAAUUUGUCUACAAAAUCCCACAAAUCGUAUGGGUCGAGUUCUUUCGUAAGUACAGUGGAAGCUUUUCGCAGUACAUGUGAAGAAGUUGUGAUAAUUUGAGAAUCCAUCAGAACCUCAUCUUGACAGCUUACUUUUCAUGCAACAAUACAAAACUUCUAAUUAACGUGAAUAAUGAAUAUUUCAUGCAAUUCAAUGAUAUCAAAUACAAAAUUCUCAGGAACGAUUGCAACAUUGUAAUUUUCUUAUGAGAUUUUUACCCUUUUUCUUAACUUUUUCUCUACAAGAAAAGCUUUAGACAACAAAGAAGCUUUGUUAUCUCCUGACAAUGUGAACUUCAACAUUAUGGAAAUAAAAAUAAAUAUUCUUA